rnacentral:rRNA from 1 species
UACGUAGGCAGCGAGCGUUGUUCGGAGUUACUGGGCGUAAAGAGUGUGUAGGCGGUGCUCUAAGUCUGGUGUGAAAUCCCUCAGCUUAACUGGGGAACUGCGUGUGAUACUGGAUGGCUUGGAUUUGGGAGAGGGAUGCGGAAUUCCAGGUGUAGCGGUGAAAUGCGUAGAUAUCUGGAGGAACACCGGCGGCGAAGGCGGCUGGCUGGACCUGACCUGACGCUGAGGCGCGAAGGCGUGGGGAGCGAACGGG